UACAGAGGAGCCAAGCGUUGUCCGGAUUGACUGGGCGUAAAGCGCACGCAGGCGGACGCGCGCGUGGGGUGUGAAAUCUGGCCGCUUAACGGCCAGGCGCCAUCCCAUACGGCGCGUCUGGAGUGAUGCAGAGGUCGAUGGAAUUGCCGGUGUAGUGGUGGAAUGCGUAGAGAUCCGGAGGAACACCAGCGGCGAAGGCGGCAUCCUGGACUGGUCCUGACACUCAGGAGCGAAAGCGUGGGGAGCGAUCCGG
rnacentral:rRNA from 1 species